rnacentral:rRNA from 1 species
UGUAAGCGUAUACCAAAGUUGUUGCAGUUAAAACGCUCGUAGUCGGACUUUGGCAGUUCCGGAUGUGUGCACGUCGUGUGCGCACUUCGCUGGGAUUGCUUUUGUGGUCUUGCGUAGGAUGAGGCACUUUUAUUAGUGAACGUCCUCACGCAACCACUUUUUACUGUGAGAAAAUCAGAGUGCUCAAAGCAGGCAUUUGCCGUGAAUGUAUUAGCAUGGAAUAAUAGAAUAGGACUUGGUUCUAUUUUGUUGGUUUGUUGGGACUGAGUAAUGAUUAAGAGGGACAGUUGGGGGCAUUUGUAUUUCGGUGCUAGAGGUGAAAUUCUUAGAUUACCGAAAGACAAACUGCUGCGAAAGCGUCUGCCAAGGAUGUUUUCAUUGA